UACCAGCACCCCCGAGUGGUCGGGACGUUUAUUGGGCCUAAAGCAUCCGUAGCCGGUUCUACAAGUCUUCCGUUAAAUCCACCUGCUCAACAGAUGGGCUGCGGAAGAUACUAUGGAGCUAGGAGGCGGGAGAGGCAAGCGGUACUCGAUGGGUAGGGGUAAAAUCCGUUGAUCCAUUGAAGACCACCAGUGGCGAAGGCGGCUUGCCAGAACGCGCUCGACGGUGAGGGAUGAAAGCUGGGGGAGCAAACCGG
rnacentral:rRNA from 1 species